CUACCGGCCGACCUCAGCCUCACCCCAUCUCAUCUCACCGGCCGAACCUGCAAACCCAGCAGCCCAGCCCGGCCGGCGACGCUCCCCCGCGCACCAGCACACCUGCUCGCUCCCUGCAGCCACCCGCUACUGCUUUCGCGUCCCUGCAACCCGCCUGCGUAUCAGCCCAGCCUAUUAGCCCAGCCCGAACGCCACCGCCGCCGCAGCGCCCCCGCCACCUGCAGUUUUUCUGCCCACCGCCACCUGCAGACC
rnacentral:lncRNA from 1 species